GAUUAGAUACCCUAUUAUUUAUUUUUUAAAUAUAAAUACUCGGGUAGUAAUAGAUAUGUUCUUGAAACUUAAAAAAUUUGGCGGUAUUUUAGUCUAUUCAGAGGAACCUGUUUUAUAAUCGAUAGUCCACGUUGAACCUUACUUAAAUUUGUUUUUCAAUUUGUAUACCGUCGUUAUUAGAAUAUUUUAUAAGAAUAAUAAUUUUCAAUAAAUUUAAUUAUAUUUAAUGUCAGAUCAAGGUGCAGUUUAUAUUUAAGUAAUAAUGGGUUACAAUAAAUAUAUUUAAAUGGAUAAAAUAAUGAAAAAAUUUUUAAAAGUGGAUUUGAUAGUAAAAUUAUAAAGAUUAAUAAUUUGAUUUUAGCUCUAAAAUAUGUACACAUCGGCCGUCGCUCUUAUUAUUAGAAUAAGAUAAGUCGUAACAUAGUAGAUGUACUGGAAAGUGUAUCUAGAAUG
rnacentral:rRNA from 1 species